rnacentral:lncRNA from 1 species
UUGUGUUUCUGGUGCUGCAAUUAAUUUUUGCCAUAACAAUGAAACAACAGAGAAACAUAAUUCCUGUUUCUCUGCAAGAACAGAUCUUAGCAGAGCUUGUGCACUGCGGUUGCAUCCUCCAUUUCGAUCCAUUGUGAGAAAGUUCGCUAAAUCUGUUGCAUCCAUUCGCAGACUUGCUAUAUUUUUCCCUGAUCUAUCUACAAUAACAUCAUUUAAUAUAAUUUCACAUGUUAAAAAUGCUCGUGAAGAACUAUCCUUAGACUCUGAUGACGAAGGAUCCUUUAAUUCAGAGAUGCUGCAACUUGCAGAACUGGAUUGUCCUCUGACACUGAAAUGCACCAGAUCAUCCUUCCGUACUGGCACAUGCACCAAGUGUGCCUCAAGGGGUUCUGCCUUGUCAACUAUGGAGGCAACCAUUUUUCCAUGUAUGUCAAUAAGGUGAUAAAGAGAAGAUGCCCUAGUAGAAAUCUCAGUGUCCCACUUGCAAUGCAUUAGAACAGAGAGAGCAUUCAUGCAGACUUUGGAACGUCCAAAUAACUCAGAAACAUGAGCAGCAACCAUAGCUGCAGCCACUAUCUCAUUGGAACUGUAACUCCAUGAUGUACCAACAGAUGAUGGCUUCAAUGAGAAAAGGGCUUCCAGAAUUCCGAGGAUUCUACGAGUGUGACAAACAGCAGAAAAAACACUAUUCUGUAGCUCAUUAAACACACCAUUAGUUUUUAAUGUUUUGGUCAUCUUUGCAGAAUUUUUAGAAUCUGAAUGUGUACCAUUUUUCGAAACCAAAGGGCACAGUUGAAGUUCACAAGCCAGAGCACAUACAGCAGCCAGCACAUAGGAAUCAAAUGUUGCAACGGGCCCUUGUUUUCUCUUGUUUCUGUUUUUUUUAGGUGCUUUCCCGUUAAUUAUCUGUGGCCCCUCAAAGUUCUCAUCAAGCAAAAGUCUGUCACUACCUGCUGGUCUUUUACUCCCAUUGGGCAAAGCCUCGUGACUGACGCAAACGGUUAGCACGACGAACAAUAGGCGGGAGGCAAGGUCCGUGGAUGCACAAGAUUCCAGAAAUAGUGAAUGAAUCAUUGUAUGAAGCUCAGCAACAGCAAGGUUCUUCAUUGUAGACCAUAUACUGCCAUGAGCUCUUGAUUUUCUUUGUUGAUCACCAGAGGUUUCUGGUGGAAAGGUUCUUCGCAGUAUAGCUUCUACAGUAGCCACAAAGAUCCUCAUGAGGCAUGCUUCAGAUGGGCUUCCACGUGGGAGAUACUCCAAUACUUUUAGAAGUGGCAAGUACAAAUUCCAAGACAAGGUAGGAGGUUGCAAUGGGGUUGCAACUACAAUUUCUGGCAAAUCAACAGCCGAGGAACUCAGAGGAAGCAGGCCAUAUGCAGCUUCCCAUAUGGUGCAUAUUCUCCAUUCAACAUCAGGACCAUGGGCACAUAGCAUAGAAGCAAUUCCUUGUGCAGUUGCCUCAACAGUGGCUUCAGAUGCAGGAACUUCUAGCUGAUCCAAUUUCAAUAAGCAUGGAUGGAUGUUAGGCAUAAAACAAGCAACAUAAGCUAGCUGAGUCAGCAUAUUCUUAAAGCAGAUUUCGGGCACAUGGACAAAUAAAUCAUGGUAGUCAAUAAUUCAAAAAAUAUGAAACUGGUAAUAGUACAAAUCCUUGACUCUUAAGUGAAAAAAAUGCCAAUAAUGCAAAACGACUUAAAUUACCUGUUUUUUAUAGGAUGAUAUGUAGCCACCUAGAGGUUCAUGCUGGACUUGAACUCCUUCAGCAUGUCUUAGUGGAGGAAAAAGCAACGCAGGCUGUGAGAGUAUGCGGAAAAGUAAAGCAGCUGCAGCAUCUGCUGCAAUACCAGCUCUCAUGGACAUUGCAGUGCCAAUUGCUCGCAAGAAAUGCAAAUGCAUCCAAUUUCUUGGAAGCUACAAUAUGAAGAACAAGAAAUUCAAUGACUAUAUACUUUGCAAUCAGAAAUACUUCAUUGACUUAAUCAGCUAUAGUGAUGCCACCUUUUCUCGUGGAACAGGAUGCCACAUUUUGGAUGCUAAAUGGAAAACAAUAUAAAAUAUGAAGAAAAAUUUGUACUCACACUUUAUUUAUACAUAAAUAAAAUUUAGAAAUGUUAUACAUCAAAAUUCAUGGAGAUGCUGUACAGCAUACUUACCAGUUACCCCAAAAUUAGAAUAAUUGUAAAAUAAUAAAGGAAGAAAUAAUCUUUUAUCUCUGUCUCCACAGGGCAAGGGUGGAGAGAGAGAGAGAGAGAUUCACCAGUGGUAAUAUACAAAGAAGAUAUAUACCAAAGUACCUACAUUUCCAUUUGUUAAAUUUGGUGGUUAACCUAUUACGCAAAAUAUAUGUACAGUGGGUUGUAAGUGAUUCUUUAUAUUAGGGCAACAAUGUAAAGUAUUCCAUAUAUAGAAUAUAUCUAAAACCCUUCUUUAAACUUACUGGGAAUCUACUACCAAAGAGUUUGCUAAGAAGGUAUUGAAUACGGCCAGUAUUAUGGGCCUUCAUCAAAAAACCCAUAAGCUGCAUCGUAGAUGAUACAUACAGAAGGGAGAUGCGGUAUGAGGAUGAAACCAGCUAAUGUAGUGGAAAUUAUCUAGAUGGGCUGUGUCAUUCAUGGAAAUAGGAAUAGCCUAAUCUAGGUUAUAUUCUGAUUGUCACAAUAUAAGUGAUUAGACCUCUAAGUUCCAGCAUUCACGAAGCGAUUAUAGUAGGCAAAUGGUCAAGGUACUUCCUGCAUGGUGCCUAAAUGGUAUGCAGCUACUUACUGCUGAUCAUUAUUGAAUAAAUGUUAGACGAUAUAUAAAUUUAUAGUAAUAUAUAAUGGAAUAAAAAAAUAGAAAUAUCUCAAUAGAAAUCAGGAAAAAAUAAGAAAAAUUAUAGAGUUCGAGGGAUGCAUAUCUAGAGAUUGGGCUUAUACCGGCCACAAGGGUACCCACUACGCAACUUGAAAGCUACAUGCAAACAUAGACUAGAAACUAUGCAGGGUGGUGAGGAGGCUGCACAUGCAUAUGCAAUCACAUAGACUGCUUUUUAAACAGUACUAAAAAUGAAUGUCCACAACUUAGGAUGGUGCAACCAAACAACAUCCACAGUUAAGUGACAUCUAGAAGUAGCGACUAGAGUGGUCAGUGGUGCUUGAUAGGAUGCAGGAGUACAAAUGAGUCUCAUCAGCCAGUUCAAAUAUUGCCAACUCCAAAUGCAAUAGAGGAGGACUACGAAUCAGUCCCUGAAUAGGCUUGAACUUAGGGUGAACCCAUUAGUGAUCAUGGCACCAAUAAUAUAUUUUGGCUGCAUAAGGAAAGACUGGAUCCCAGAGUCAGCAGCUCAUGUUGGUGUUGGAACAUUAGAGCACAAAACUCUUGCAUCAAUUGUUCAACCAGUUAUAUAAAACAGAAUAACUGCUGCCCACAAACCCCAAUCAACACUACAAACCCCUCUCAAUUGCUAUAGGCAGGACAGAUAGUCUGAAAUCUUCUAAGCUAUCAAAAAGUUGGCAAGCUGGGGACAUAUGGACGAUCAAAUGAUGUCAUCAAAUACAACUAGAUAAUUUUAACUUAGAAAAGGC